GCUACGCGGGGCAGCAGUGGGGAAUAUUGGACAAUGGGGGAAACCCUGAUCCAGCGACGCCGCGUGAGUGAAGAAGUAUUUCGGUACGUAAAGCUCUAUCAGCAGGAAAGAAAAUGACGGUACCUGACUAAGAAGCCACGGCUAACUACGUGCCAGCAGCCGCGGUAAAGCGGAGGGGGCAAGCGUUAUCCGGAUUUACUGGGUGGAAAGGGAGCGUAGACGGCAGCGAAAGUCUGGAGUGAAAUGCCGGGGCCCAACCCCGGAACUUCUCUGGAAACUGUGAAGCUGGAGUGCAGGAGAGGUAAGUGGAAUUCCUGGUGUAGCGGUGAAAGGCGUAGAUAUCAGGGGGAACACCGGCGGCGAAGGCGGCUUACUGGACUGUAACUGACGUCGAGGCUCGAAGGCGUGGGGAGCAAACAGGAUUAGAUACCCGGGUAGUC
rnacentral:rRNA from 1 species